AACUGUGGCUGUUUUAAUGUGUGCAUGUGCAGUGGGAAGGAAGUGAGAGAUCGGAGUCGUGGUGAGCAGCAGCAAGGCCUUUGACAGAACAAGGAACCUGAUGGAACCAGGAAAAACGAAACAGAUCUAAAAUAAUGUGUGAAGACCUUGCUUGGAUACAGCAGAUGCCCGCCCUGAUGUGGAGCAAACGACAACCUUAUGAAGGCAGGUGACCUCUGUAUUCACCCUUUUUGCCUUUUAAAUAGAAAUGCCAUAGCCCACAUC